UGGGGAAUAUUGGACAAUGGACCGAGAGUCUGAUCCAGCAAUUCUGUGUGCACGAUGAAGUUUUUCGGAAUGUAAAGUGCUUUCAGUUGGGAAGAAAGAAAUGACGGUACCAACAGAAGAAGUGACGGCUAAAUACGUGCCAGCAGCCGCGGUAAUACGUAUGUCACGAGCGUUAUCCGGAUUUAUUGGGCGUAAAGCGCGUCUAGGUGGUUAUAUAAGUCUGAUGUGAAAAUGCAGGGCUCAACUCUGUAUUGCGUUGGAAACUGUAUAACUAGAGUACUGGAGAGGUAAGCGGAACUACAAGUGUAGAGGUGAAAUUCGUAGAUAUUUGUAGGAAUGCCGAUGGGGAAGCCAGCUUACUGGACAGAUACUGACGCUGAAGCGCGAAAGCGUGGGUAGCAAACAGGAUUAGAUACCCUGGUAGUCCACGCUGUAAACGAUGAUUACUAGGUGUUGGGGGUCGAACUUCAGCGCCCAAGCAAACGCGAUAAGUAAUCCGCCUGGGGAGUACGUACGCAAGUAUG
rnacentral:rRNA from 1 species